rnacentral:rRNA from 1 species
UACGUAGGGGGCAAGCGUUGUCCGGAAUUAUUGGGCGUAAAGCGCGCGCAGGCGGUCUCCUAAGUCUGAUGUGAAAGCCCACGGCUCAACCGUGGAGGGUCAUUGGAAACUGGGAGACUUGAGUGUAGGAGAGGAAAGCGGAAUUCCACGUGUAGCGGUGAAAUGCGUAGAGAUGUGGAGGAACACCAGUGGCGAAGGCGGCUUUCUGGCCUAUAACUGACGCUGAGGCGCGAAAGCGUGGGGAGCAAAC